CGUCCUUAGCUCAGCUGGAUAAAGUACCUGGCUACGAACCAGGGGGUGGGGGGUUCCGAACUCCCCGGACGG
rnacentral:tRNA from 1 species